CAUUAUGUAUUGUGAUGUCUGAUGACUUUGAGUUUGGGUCGGACAUUAUGUAUUGUGAUGUCUGAUGACUUUGAGUUUGGGUCGGACAUUAUGUAUUGUGAUGUCUGAUGACUUUGAGUUUGGGUCGGACAUUAUGUAUUGUGAUGUCCGAUGACUUUCAGUUUGGGUUGCACAUUAUGUAUUGUGAUGUCUGAUGACUUUGAGUUUGGGUCGGACAUUAUGUAUUGUGAUGUCUGAUGACUUUGAGGCGGACAUUAUGUAUUGUGAUGUCUGAUGACUUUGAGUUUGGGGCGGACAUUAUGUAUUGUGAUGUCUG